GCCUAACACAUGCAAGUCGAACGGUAACAGGAAGAAGCUUGCUUCUUUGCUGACGAGUGGCGGACGGGUGAGUAAUGUCUGGGAAACUGCCUGAUGGAGGGGGAUAACUACUGGAAACGGUAGCUAAUACCGCAUAACGUCGCAAGACCAAAGAGGGGGACCUUCGGGCCUCUUGCCAUCGGAUGUGCCCAGAUGGGAUUAGCUAGUAGGUGGGGUAACGGCUCACCUAGGCGACGAUCCCUAGCUGGUGUGAGAGGAUGACCAGCCACACUGGAACUGAGACACGGUCCAGACUCCUACGGGAGGCAGCAGUGGGGAAUAUUGCACAAUGGGCGCAAGCCUGAUGCAGCCAUGCCGCGUGUAUGAAGAAGGCCUUCGGGUUGUAAAGUACUUUCAGCGGGGAGGAAGGGAGUAAAGUUAAUACCUUGCUCAUUGACGUACCCGCAGA
rnacentral:rRNA from 1 species